rnacentral:rRNA from 1 species
GGGGAGCCGUAGGGAAACCGAGUCUUAACCGGGCGUUAAGUUGCAGGGUAUAGACCCGAAACCCGGUGAUCUAGCCAUGGGCAGGUUGAAGGUUGGGUAACACUAACUGGAGGACCGAACCGACUAAUGUUGAAAAAUUAGCGGAUGACCUGUGGCUGGGGGUGAAAGGCCAAUCAAACCGGGAGAUAGCUGGUUCUCCCCGAAAGCUAUUUAGGUAGCGCCUCGUGAACUCAUCUCCGGGGGUAGAGCACUGUUUCGGCUAGGGGGCCAUCCCGGCUUACCAACCCGAUGCAAACUGCGAAUACCGGAGAAUGUUAUCACGGGAGACACACGGCGGGUGCUAACGUCCGUCGUGAAGAGGGAAACAACCCAGACCGCCAGCUAAGGUCCCAAAGUCAUGGUUAAGUGGGAAACGAUGUGGGAAGGCCCAGACAGCCAGGAUGUUGGCUUAGAAGCAGCCAUCAUUUAAAGAAAGCGUAAUAGCUCACUGGUCGAGUCGGCCUGCGCGGAAGAUGUAACGGGGCUAAACCAUGCACCGAAGCUGCGGCAGCGACACUGUGUGUUGUUGGGUAGGGGAGCGUUCUGUAAGCCUGUGAAGGUGUGUCGUGAGGCAUGCUGGAGGUAUCAGAAGUGCGAAUGCUGACAUAAGUAACGAUAAAGCGGGUGAAAAGCCCGCUCGCCGGAAGACCAAGGGUUCCUGUCCAACGUUAAUCGGGGCAGGGUGAGUCGACCCCUAAGGCGAGGCCGAAAGGCGUAGUCGAUGGGAAACGGGUUAAUAUUCCCGUACUUGGUGUUACUGCGAAGGGGGGACGGAGAAGGCUAUGUUGGCCGGGCGACGGUUGUCCCGGUUUAAGCGUGUAGGUGUGUGUUCCAGGUAAAUCCGGUUCACUUUAACACUGAGGCGUGAUGACGAGGCACUACGGUGCUGAAGCAACAAAUGCCCUGCUUCCAGGAAAAGCCUCUAAGCAUCAGGUAACAUCAAAUCGUACCCCAAACCGACACAGGUGGUCAGGUAGAGAAUACCAAGGCGCUUGAGAGAACUCGGGUGAAGGAACUAGGCAAAAUGGUGCCGUAACUUCGGGAGAAGGCACGCUGACACGUAGGUGAAGUGAUUUACUCAUGGAGCUGAAGUCAGUCGAAGAUACCAGCUGGCUGCAACUGUUUAUUAAAAACACAGCACUGUGCAAACACGAAAGUGGACGUAUACGGUGUGACGCCUGCCCGGUGCCGGAAGGUUAAUUGAUGGGGUCAGCGCAAGCGAAGCUCCUGAUCGAAGCCCCGGUAAACGGCGGCCGUAACUAUAACGGUCCUAAGGUAGCGAAAUUCCUUGUCGGGUAAGUUCCGACCUGCACGAAUGGCGUAAUGAUGGCCAGGCUGUCUCCACCCGAGACUCAGUGAAAUUGAACUCGCUGUGAAGAUGCAGUGUACCCGCGGCAAGACGGAAAGACCCCGUGAACCUUUACUAUAGCUUGACACUGAACAUUGAGCCUUGAUGUGUAGGAUAGGUGGGAGGCUUUGAAGUGUGGACGCCAGUCUGCAUGGAGCCGACCUUGAAAUACCACCCUUUAAUGUUUGAUGUUCUAACGUGGACCCGUUACCCGGGUUGCGGACAGUGUCUGGUGGGUAGUUUGACUGGGGCGGUCUCCUCCUAAAGAGUAACGGAGGAGCACGAAGGUUGGCUAAUCCUGGUCGGACAUCAGGAGGUUAGUGCAAUGGCAUAAGCCAGCUUGACUGCGAGCGUGACGGCGCGAGCAGGUGCGAAAGCAGGUCAUAGUGAUCCGGUGGUUCUGAAUGGAAGGGCCAUCGCUCAACGGAUAAAAGGUACUCCGGGGAUAACAGGCUGAUACCGCCCAAGAGUUCAUAUCGACGGCGGUGUUUGGCACCUCGAUGUCGGCUCAUCACAUCCUGGGGCUGAAGUAGGUCCCAAGGGUAUGGCUGUUCGCCAUUUAAAGUGGUACGCGAGCUGGGUUUAGAACGUCGUGAGACAGUUCGGUCCCUAUCUGCCGUGGGCGCUGGAGAACUGAGGGGGGCUGCUCCUAGUACGAGAGGACCGGAGUGGACGCAUCACUGGUGUUCGGGUUGUCAUGCCAAUGGCACUGCCCGGUAGCUAAAUGCGGAAGAGAUAAGUGCUGAAAGCAUCUAAGCACGAAACUUGCCCCGA